rnacentral:rRNA from 1 species
UCGGGAAUUUUGCACAAUGGCCGAAAGGCUGAUGCAGCAACGCCGCGUGAGCGAAGAAGGCCUUCGGGUUGUAAAGCUCUGUUGCCUGCGAAGAAGGGCCCUGUCAGGAAAUGGGCGGGGUUUGACGGUAGCAGGCGAGGAAGCCCCGGCAAACGACGUGCCAGCAGCCGCGGUAAUACGUAGGGGGCGAGCGUUUUCCGGAAUUACUGGGCGUAAAGGGCGUGUAGGCGGCCUGUUAAGUCAGGGGUGAAAGACCGGGGCUCAACCCCGGGGGUGCCUCUGAAACUGGCGGGCUUGAGUGCUCUAGAGGGCAGUGGAAUUCCCGGUGUAGCAGUGAAAUGCGUAGAGAUCGGGAGGAACACCAGUGGCGAAGGCGGCUGCCUGGGGAGUCACUGACGCUGAGGCGCGAAAGCUAGGGGAGCAAACAGG